rnacentral:rRNA from 1 species
CAGGCAGUGGAGCGUUUUGGGGUGGGGUGACUGCGUACCUUUUGUAUAAUGGGUCAGCGACUUAUAUUCUGUAGCAAGGUUAACCGCAUAGGGGAGCCGGAGGGAAACCGAGUCUUAAUUGGGCGUUAAGUUGCAGGGUAUAGACCCGAAACCCGGUGAUCUAGCCAUGGGCAGGUUGAAGGUUGGGUAACACUAACUGGAGGACCGAACCGACUAAUGUUGAAAAAUUAGCGGAUGACCUGUGGCUGGGGGUGAAAGGCCAAUCAAACCGGGAGAUAGCUGGUUCUCCCCGAAAGCUAUUUAGGUAGCGCCUCGUGAAUUCAUCUCCGGGGGUAGAGCACUGUUUCGGCCAGGGGGCCAUCCCGGCUUACCAAUCCGAUGCAAACUGCGAAUACCGGAGAAUGUUAUCACGGGAGACACACGGCGGGUGCUAACGUCCGUCGUGAAGAGGGAAACAACCCAGACCGCCAGCUAAGGUCCCAAAGUCAUGGUUAAGUGGGAAACGAUGUGGGAAGGCCCAGACAGCCAGGAUGUUGGCUUAGAAGCAGCCAUCAUUUAAAGAAAGCGUAAUAGCUCACUGGUCGAGUCGGCCUGCGCGGAAGAUGUAACGGGGCUAAACCAU